rnacentral:rRNA from 1 species
UACGGGGGGGGCAAGCGUUGUUCGGAAUUACUGGGCGUAAAGGGCGCGUAGGCGGCCUUCUAAGUCGGACGUGAAAUCCCUCGGCUUAACCGGGGAACUGCGUCCGAUACUGGAGGGCUUGGAUCCGGGAGAGGGAUGCGGAAUUCCAGGUGUAGCGGUGAAAUGCGUAGAUAUCUGGAGGAACACCGGUGGCGAAGGCGGCAUCCUGGACCGGCAUCGACGCUGAGGCGCGAAAGCCAGGGGAGCAAAC